AUGGGAGAUAAUGAAUGGGUUGAUGUUACUGCUGAAUUGGUUCAUCAAAAUGACGCUAUGGACGAUGACAAUCCACUACUUUGGUACCAUGUUGAUCAGGCCGUUGGUGCGACCGAUGGUCUAAGUGGACGCCAUCUUCCAAGGAGGGCUCGUGGUGAUUUAAGUGAGUCUAGUCCUCCCGCUGGCUCUAAUAUCUUUUACACUCGAAGGACAAGUGUGGUUGUCCAUGAUGAAGACUUGCGGGCUGAAUUGGAAGCUGAAGAUAUUGAUAGUGACAUGGAGACCAAUGGUGAAGACAAUGAUGGCCCUACACGAGUGAAUGAUAUAGACCCUGAUUUUCAGCUGGAUGUAGAUCUGGAUUGA
rnacentral:rRNA from 1 species